rnacentral:rRNA from 1 species
UACGAAGGGGGCUAGCGUUGCUCGGAAUUACUGGGCGUAAGGGGAGCGUAGGCGGAUAGUUUAGUCAGAGGUGAAAGCCCAGGGCUCAACCCUGGAAUUGCCUUUGAUACUGGCUAUCUUGAGUGUGGGAGAGGUUAGCGGAACUCCGAGUGUAGAGGUGAAAUUCGUAGAUAUUCGGAAGAACACCAGUGGCGAAGGCGGCUAACUGGCCCAUUACUGACGCUGAGGCUCGAAAGCGUGGGGAGCAAACAGG